rnacentral:rRNA from 1 species
GAAGAGAGAGUUCAAGAGUACGUGAAACCAUUAGAAGCUCAAAUGGGUGGAACUCUGAAGGUCGAAAGAUGGGAUUCAGCUGGCGGGGCGCAGGCGGCAACCAUGGUUCAAGUUGUUUUUCAGUGAGAGGACCGGGCGACGGGCCCUGCGGUUGACGUGCCACGGCCUGCAGGGUUAUUUCUCCCAUGAGUAGAGUUGGUGGCGAUCAGCUGCUUAGACUCCGAGGGCCGUUUCGGACCGGUAGCCCCCGCCUUGGCGCGGGUGAUGACCGACGACGGUACUGACCGGGCCCGAGAGGCGGUCACUGCAAGGAGGCCGUGGAGUGAAGAAUGCAGCCUCUCGUCACCUGAGAGUGAUUGGUAAUCCACCCGACCCAUCUUGAAUCACGGACCAAGGAGUCCAACAUGUGCGCUUGUCUAAGGGUGAUCUAAAUCCUGGGCUGGUACCAGCGGUGCCUGGGCAGGAGUUAGGACGCAGGCUGAGGACUUGAAGUAGUGCGGCCAGGGGCACGGGGGGCUCUCGGGCUCCCUCAACCCGUGGUCGGCCGCCAAGUACCUGAGAGCGCAGCCGUUGGGACCCGAAAGAUGGUGAACUAUGCCUGGCGAGGACGAAGCCAGAGGAAACAAUGGUGGAGGUCCGAAGCAGUUCUGACGUGAAAAUCGAUUGUCAGAGCUGGGUAUAGGGGCGAAAGACUAAUCGAACCAUCUAGUGGCUGGUUCCCUCCGAAGUUUCCCUCAGGAUAGCUGGCAUUUGGAGAGGUAAGUUUCAUCCGGUAAAGCGAAUGAUUAGAGGCCUUGGUGGUGCAAUGCCGUCAACCUAUUCUCAAACUUUAAAUGGGUGAGACGUGGAGCUUGCUUGAGAUGUGAAGCUCAAUGAUGCAAAGAAUCAGAGUGCCUAGUGGGCCACUUUUGGUAAGCAGAACUGGCGCUG